rnacentral:lncRNA from 7 species
AGGAAGAGCCCCUCACACAGCACAGGGCACCGCAGCACCUCCUGGAGCUCCAGUGGUUCCCUCUCCAAGUCCCGCUCCCGCUCCCGGGACAAGCGGGCAGCACGCAGCCGCAGCCGCUCUCCCUCACAGAAGAAAACUGCCAGCAGAGAGAAAGACAAUGAGCCUCGAACACGCCACAGUGACCCGGACCCUGCUCGGGCCCGGCGCCGCUCCCGAAGCUACUCCCCAAUCAGGAAGAGGAGACGUGACUCCCCCAGCUUCAUGGAGCCCAGAAGGAUCACCAGCGCUCGCAAGCGUCCCAUCCCCUACUACCGCCCCAGCCCCUCGUCCUCCAGCUCGCUGAGCACCUACUCGUACAGCCGCAGCCGCAGCCGCAGCUAUGACACCCACAGCUCCCACAGUGACAGAGCCCCGGACAGGACAGCACAUCAGGGAAAAUUUCCAGUCUUCCUCUUUUACAGUCUCUGUCUCCUGCCGCGGAGGGAGCCAACUGGAACAAAAUACUCUGUAGAAAUACUUCAGUAUUUUCCUCUCUCUCGCGCGCUCUCUUUUUCUGGAUUGUGAGUACAGCUGUAGAUUCAGUGAGCUGGUUCAAUUAUAAUAAAAUAUACAGUAUAUAUUGU